rnacentral:rRNA from 1 species
CGGCGCACGGGUGCGUAACGCGUAUGCAUCUACCUUACUGGGGAUAGCCGAAGAAUCGGAUUAUGCCCAUAGUAUAAUGAAUCGCAUGUUUCAUUAUUAAACUCCGGUGGUUAAGAUGAGCAUGCGUCCUAUUAGUAGUUGGUGAGGUAACGGUCACCAAGACUNCGAUAGGUAGGGGGUCUGAGAGGAUGAUCCCCCACACUGGUACUGAGACACGGACCAGACCCCUACGGGAGGCAGCAGUGAGGAAUAUUGGACAAUGGACGAAAGUCUGAUCCAGCCAUGCCGCGUGUAGGAAGACUGCCCUCUGGGUUGUAAACUACUUUUAUAUGGGAAUAAACCCCCCGACGUGUCGGGGGCUGAACGUACCAUACGAAUAAGCACCGGCUAACUCCGUGCCAGCAGCCGCGGUAAUACGGAGGGUGCAAGCGUUAUCCGGAUUUAUUGGGUUUAAAGGGUCCGUAGGUGGGAUUAUAAGUCAGUGGUGAAAUCUUUCGGCUUAACCGGAAAAUUGCCAUUGAUACUGUAGUUCUUGAGUAUGCUCGAUGUAGGCGGAAUAUGUCAUGUCGCGGUGAAACGCAUAGAUUUGACAUAGAUCACCGAUACCGAAGCCAGCUUACAAGCGCAUUACUGACUCUGAUGUACGAACGCUUGGGGACCGAACAGGAUUGGAUACCCGGGUAGUCCACCCCGUAACGAUUGUUCACUAGACAUGGGAGACUAUACUGCUCGGUGUUCAAAGCGAAAGCUAUUAAUUGAUCCACCUGGUGAGUACGCUCGCAAGAGUGAAUCUCAAAUGAUUUGACGGGGUCCCGCACAAAGCGGUGGAGCAUGUGGUUCAAUUCGAUGAUACGCGAGGAACCUUACCUGGGCUUAUAUGCAGAACGUCAGGCUGGGAACCAAGCCUUUCUUCGGACGGACUGCAAGGUGCUGCAUGGUUGUCGUCUAGCUCGUCCCGUGAGGUGUCGGGUUAAGUCCCAUAACGAGCGCAACCCCUAUCACUAGUUGCCAGCGAGUUAUGUCGGCGACUCUAGUGAAACUGCCCGUGCAAGCGGUGAGUAAGGUGGGUAUUACGUCAAUUCAUCACGGCCCUNACGUCCAGGCUUACACACGUGCUACAAUGGCGCAUACANAGGGCAGCUACCUGNUGACAGGAUGCUAAUCUCUAANGUGCGUCUCAGUUCGGAUUGAAGUCUGCAACUCGACUUCAUGA